CGGGACGUAGCUCAGCUUGGUAGAGCGCCUGCUUUGGGAGCAGGAAGUCGCAGGUUCAAAUCCUGUCGUCCCGA
rnacentral:tRNA from 1 species